rnacentral:rRNA from 1 species
CACGUAGGGGGCAAGCGUUGUCCGGAUUUAUUGGGCGUAAAGAGCUCGUAGGUGGUUCGGUAAGUCAGGUGUGAAACCUCCAGGCUCAACCUGGAGACGCCACUUGAUACUGCUGUGACUGGAGUCCGGUAGGGGAGCGUGGAAUUCCUGGUGUAGCGGUGAAAUGCGCAGAUAUCAGGAGGAACACCAGCGGCGAAGGCGGCGCUCUGGGCCGGUACUGACGCUGAGACGCGAAGGCGUGGGGAGCGAACGGG